rnacentral:rRNA from 1 species
GUCCAGACUCCUACGGGAGGCAGCAGUGGGGAAUAUUGGACAAUGGGGGGAACCCUGAUCCAGCGACGCCGCGUGAGUGAAGAAGUAUUUCGGUAUGUAAAGCUCUAUCAGCAGGGAAGAAAGAAAUGACGGUACCUGACUAAGAAGCCCCGGCUAACUACGUGCCAGCAGCCGCGGUAAUACGUAGGGGGCAAGCGUUAUCCGGAUUUACUGGGUGUAAAGGGAGCGUAGACGGUUACGCAAGUCUGGAGUGAAAGGCGGGGGCCCAACCCCCGGACUGCUUUGGAAACUGUGCAGCUAGAGUGCAGGAGAGGUAAGUGGAAUUCCUAGUGUAGCGGUGAAAUGCGUAGAUAUUAGGAGGAACACCAGUGGCGAAGGCGGCCUGCUGGACAGAAACUGACGUUGAGGCUCGAAAGCGUGGGGAGCAAACAGGAUUAGAUACCCGUGUAA